UACAGAGGUCCCAAGCGUUGUUCGGAUUCACUGGGCGUAAAGGGUGCGUAGGCGGUCGGAUAAGUCUGAUGUGAAAUCUUCGAGCUCAACUCGGAAACUGCAUCGGAAACUAUUCGGCUAGAGGAUUGGAGGGGAGACUGGAAUUCUCGGCGUAGCAGUGAAAUGCGUAGAUAUCGAGAGGAACACCAGUGGCGAAGGCGAGUCUCUGGACAAUUCCUGACGCUGAGGCACGAAAGCUAGGGGAGCAAACAGG
rnacentral:rRNA from 1 species